GACAAGAGUAAAGUUGUGCAAAGUCUCCUGGAGUACAAAGGUCUGGUACAAAGGUCAAUCUGUGAAUCGUGUGAUCAUACACGUGCAAAGCGCAAGGCUGAAUUAACAACAAACCAUUGUCAAAUCUCUUCCCAUGCGUGCGGGAAAAUAGACCAAUCAGGUUUCACCUCUUCGUCUGCAUAGUUUCCUGCUUGGAUCAGUAAGCCUCAUUGUGUCCAGCUGUAGUAUGAGUGAUGGUAAUGCUCAAAUAUAUGUCUUACGAUCAACUUGUAGUUUAAAAAAAAAAAAAAAAAUUCUAUUUGCAUAUAACAUGAUUUUAAUAAAUUAAUUAUUUAAAGUGUGUCGAAAGAGAAAUAUAGACGACAUGUCUUCGAAAAGCACAAAGAUCAUCUGUCUUCUAUACGAUUACAGUUGUGGUGGGAGUUGGGCUUUUUCGUCUAUGGGGAAUACACAUGCUGUGUAUUUGUGGGGAUGGAGUGCUCCCAAAGGUCACCCUCAACCCCAUAGACUCACACAAAUCAAUGUAUUAUACAGUGUAUUGUAAAGUAAACAAUGACCAUCACGGGGAUCUACUACCCCUUGGACAUUAAAGUAAACAAUGACCAUCACGGGGAUCUACUACCCCUUGGACAUUAAAGUAAACAAUGACCAUCACGGGGAUCUACUACCCCUUGGACAUUUAGGAUGCCCAUCUCGGGGAUCUACUACCC